AAAGUCGUAACAAGGUCUCCGUUGGUGAACCAGCGGAGGGAUCAUUACAAGAGAAGCUUCGGCUCUCCAACCCACUGUGAACAUACCUACGUUCCCUCGGCGGGCUCAGCGCGCGGUGCCUCCGGGCGCCGGGCGUCCGCCGGGGGCCCCCAAACUCGAAUUUACUACGUGUAUCUCUGAGGGGCGAAAGCCUGAAAAAAUGAAUCAAAACUUUCAACAACGGAUCUCUUGGCUCUG
rnacentral:misc_RNA from 1 species